AGGUUAACCGGAUUAGCGUUCUGUCCGGUUCAAAAAGACCGCUGUUCCAGUUCAUCUGC
rnacentral:pre_miRNA from 2 species